GCGCGAAAACUUUACAAUGCUGGCAACAGCGAUAAGGGAACCUCGAGUGCCAGGUUACAAAUCUGGCUGUCGAGAUGCCUAAAAAGCAUUUCAUAGCAAGGGCCGGGCAAGACCGGUGCCAGCCGCCGCGGUAACACCGGCGGCUCGAGUGGUAACCGCUAUUAUUGGGUCUAAAGGUCUGUAGCCGGCCGGAUAAGUCUCUUGAGAAAUCUGGCAGCUUAACUGUCAGGCUUUCAGGAGAUACUGUCUGGCUCGAGGCCGGGAGAGGUGAGAGGUACUUCAGGGGUAGGGGUGCAAUCUUGUAAUCCUUGAAGGACCACCAGUGGCGAAGGCGUCUCACCAGAACGGACCUGACGGCAAGGGACGAAAGCUAGGGGCACGAACCG
rnacentral:rRNA from 1 species